UUCAGCUUACACUUCCAUAUUGUU
rnacentral:misc_RNA from 1 species